GCCGACGUGGUGGAAUUGGUAGACACGCCGUCUUGAGGGGGCGGUGGCGAUAGCCGUGAGAGUUCGAGUCUCUCCGUCGGCA
rnacentral:tRNA from 1 species